rnacentral:lncRNA from 1 species
CACUUGGUCCAGGUCCCGGGACUCCGGGUGGCCGCAGCCCUCAAGGUUGUGGAGGGUUUCCGCGAGCCGCUGAGCCCGCGGCUGAGGGUUAAGGAUUUUUUUCUUCGUUUACAAGGAACAGUGAUUAGCGCUUCAUAAGUUAUUUCGCAGUUCUGCGUCUCAGCUUUUCCAUCUGAAAAGACUCGCCUUUAAAUUGCUGAGUGUUGCUGUGGCUGUGGUCUUGUCUGGCAGCUCAGAUUCGACCCCUACCCGGGAACUUCCAUAUGCCGCAGACGCGGCCCUAAAAAGACAGGGGGGAAAAAAAAAGAUUGCUGAGAGGAUUGGGUAUCGGUAUCUAUGUCUGGGACACUUAGAAAGCCCUCUGUGUGUUUGCUAUUGUUUAUUAUUGCCGCCUACCCUUCCCCCGCGUUUGCCAGGCGCCGCGCGCAGUUCUGAGGAAUGAAGAUGCCCGAAAGAAAUCGGCAUUUAUUGAGUUCCAAGUGAGCCCCUUGGACGAAACAGCGGUAAAAGCGGAUUUCAGUAAGCGCUGAAACUGAGCCUCAGACGUUGAUGACUUGCUGAGGGCCACCCAACUAAGUGAAGCCUCCCGACUUCAGAUCCUGCACUCCAAGCCAUCGUGCUGCAAAGGUCCCAGCACACAUCGUGUGGGGUCCCACCUAACGCUUGCCACAUGUGCAGCACAUGGACACUUCCAGGCUCAGGGACCAACUGGAGCUGCAGCUCCCAGCGUACACCACAGCCACAGCAAUGAGGAAAUCUGAGCCAUGUCUGCAACCUAUACCAUGGCUCACAGCAAGGCUGAAUGCUACCCCCACUGAGUGAGGCCAGGGAUCAAACUAGUAUCCCCUAGACACAAUGUCAUCUUCUUAACCCACUGAGCCACAGUGGUAAUUCCCAUUUUGACUGAUGAGCCAAAGAGUUUUCCUUUUUCCUGUACUAAGUCAUCCCUAUUGGCUGAUCGAAACAUUUAGCAUUUUUUGAUGACCUCUCUCUCCUGCUAGAGAACUAAACUACUGACUUCCCCCCCUUCUCUCCCUCCUGGAAAAGAUAGCGGAGGGAAUUUCCUCAAGAUUGAACCCACUUUUACUCCCCUUAGAAACAGCUUUCACAUCUGCAAGUCUUACCUUCUGAGUCCACAGGGUUCUCCAGAGUUUUGGUUCUUAAAUCUUCAAAGGCCACCUAGAUGCUUCCAGCUGGUUGUCACUGUGACCUAAAGCAACAUCUCUAAAUCAGGAGUUUUACAUUUAUCUUUCUGUUUUUAUUUCACCUCUCAAAAAUACCUAGUUUCUAAAGUUCCUUGGCGGCCCAGCGGUUAGGGAUUCAGCAUUGUCACUGCUGUGGCAUGGGUUCGAUCUCGGGCUCAGGAACUUCUGCAAGCUCUGGGCACAGCUAAAAAAAAAAAAACAACAACAAAAAACACCUUAUAAAAAUACCUUGUUUCUUAAAUGUCCUGUUACUGUGAGGGUCAUUCAUUUCACAGUGGUGCACAGGGAAUGCCAAGCACUGUACGAGGUGCUGGGAUAGCAAGGCCAGCUGAUGAGGCUGGAGUGGAGAGGGCACAGGAGAGAUAAGAGGGAGGUGAAUUUGGAGAAGCCAAUGGAAGCCAGACCAUGAGAAGGUGGUAGGAAAUAAGGAUAUUUGGGGGGUUCUUCUCUAAAAGGUCUUAGGCUGGAAGAUGAUUUCAUCAGAUUUGUGUUUUGAAAAAUACCAUCUUAGCCAGUAUGUGUAGAGUGGUGGGGGCAGGGGAAUCGGAGGGGAUGCCAAACAAGAAACCAGUCGGGCUAAUGCGAGGACUAGAUGAGGGCGUCUUGGGCAAAGGAAGUAAGUGCAGAAGAUAUGAAGAAAAGGAAGCGAUUAAGAGGUAAAUCAGGAGUUCCCAUCGUGGUGCAGCAGAAAGGAAUCCGAUUAGGAACCAUGAGGUUUCAGGUUCAAUCCCUGGCCUUGCUCAGUGGGUUAAGGAUCUGGCAUUUCCGUGAGCAGUGGUAUAGGUCGAAGAUCCCACAUUGCUGUGGCUGCGGUGUAGGCCAGCAGCUGUAGCUCUGAUUCGACCUCUAGCCUGGGAACUUCCAUAUGCCUCGGGUGUGGCCCUAAAAAGCCAAAAAAAAAAAAAAAAAAAAAAAAAAA